rnacentral:rRNA from 1 species
UGGGGAAUAUUGGACAAUGGGCGCGAGCCUGAUCCAGCCAUGCCGCGUGAGUGAUGAAGGCCCUAGGGUUGUAAAGCUCUUUCACCGGUGAAGAUAAUGACGGUAACCGGAGAAGAAGCCCCGGCUAACUUCGUGCCAGCAGCCGCGGUAAUACGAAGGGGGCUAGCGUUGUUCGGAUUUACUGGGCGUAAAGCGCACGUAGGCGGACUAUUAAGUCAGGGGUGAAAUCCCGGGGCUCAACCCCGGAACUGCCUUUGAUACUGGUAGUCUUGAGUUCGAGAGAGGUGAGUGGAAUUCCGAGUGUAGAGGUGAAAUUCGUAGAUAUUCGGAGGAACACCAGUGGCGAAGGCGGCUCACUGGCUCGAUACUGACGCUGAGGUGCGAAAGCGUGGGGAGCAAACAGG